CACGGAGAGUUUGAUCCUGGCUCAGAACUAACGCUAGUGGCGUGUCUUAGUCAUGCGAGUCGAGCGAGAAAGUCUUCUUCGGAAGACGAGUAGAGCGGCGAACGGGUGAGUAACGCGUG
rnacentral:rRNA from 1 species